UCCGUAAUCCGAUCCGGUCCAGUCCAAUUCGAUAGGUUUGAAUUGGUUUUUUGAAUCCAUGGUUCGAUUCCGAAUUGAAAAUUUCAAAAUCCGUAGACCACGGAUCGGUUCCAGAUUGAACCCCACGGUUCCGGAUUGGAACCGAUCCGGACCAUCUAGAAAUAAUCUAUAUUUUUAUACUAUAUACCUUCCCACACCAUAUAAUUUCUUAUUUGAUAUAAAAACUAAAAUGUAACCUAACCUAAUCCAGCAGCCUCACUCAUUCACGCUUCUUUCAGGCUGGAAGUAGAACUAUUGAUUUAUGGCUUAUGCAUUGUAUAAGGUUUGAAAUUCAGAUGAGCCAUAUGCCUAUGAAACAUGAAUGCACCCUACAGUUAAUGAUAGUUGUAGAUAUCCUGUCAAGGCUUGAGGUUCUGUCAAGCUUGUUUACAGGCUGCCAUUGGAAUGGAUGUUGUUUAAUUAUAUUGUUUACAGGUUUUCAGCAGCUAUGUUGCUAUUGGAAUGGAAAUGUAAUGUCUAUAUUUUUUUGUUAUUUAAUUAUUUAAAUCCGUGGUCCUAAACCGAUCCAAUCCGUGUUUCAACGGAUUGGUUUGGAUUGGUUCCACAAUUUAAACGGA